GCUUAACACAUGCAAGUCGAACGGUGAACAGAGAGCUUGCUCUUUGGGAUCAGUGGCGAACGGGUGAGUAACACGUGAGUAACCUGCCCUUGACUCUGGGAUAAGCGUUGGAAACGACGUCUAAUACCGGAUACGAGCUGAGACCGCAUGGUCAUCAGUUGGAAAGAAUUUCGGUCAAGGAUGGACUCGCGGCCUAUCAGCUUGUUGGUGAGGUAAUGGCUCACCAAGGCGACGACGGGUAGCCGGCCUGAGAGGGUGACCGGCCACACUGGGACUGAGACACGGCCCAGACUCCUACGGGAGGCAGCAGUGGGGAAUAUUGCACAAUGGGCGCAAGCCUGAUGCAGCAACGCCGCGUGAGGGAUGACGGCCUUCGGGUUGUAAACCUCUUUUAGUAGGGAAGAAGCGAAAGUGACGGUACCUGCAGAAAAAGCACCGGCUAACUACGUGCCAGCAGCCGCGGUAAUACGUAGGGUGCAAGCGUUGUCCGGAAUUAUUGGGCGUAAAGAGCUCGUAGGCGGUUUGUCGCGUCUGCUGUGAAAACUGGAGGCUCAACCUCCAGCCUGCAGUGGGUACGGGCAGACUAGAGUGCGGUAGGGGAGAUUGGAAUUCCUGGUGUAGCGGUGGAAUGCGCAGAUAUCAGGAGGAACACCGAUGGCGAAGGCAGAUCUCUGGGCCGUAACUGACGCUGAGGAGCGAAAGCGUGGGGAGCGAACAGGAUUAGAUACCCUGGUAGUCCACGCCGUAAACGUUGGGAACUAGAUGUGGGGACCAUUCC
rnacentral:rRNA from 1 species